UGUGGUCCUCCAUUGAUUUGUUGUAAAAUAGACGGAAGGGACUACACUCCACCAUUUACCGUUUGUUGUGGAGCUAUUUCAUGUAAAAACUUUUGUAGGAUGUGUCAUGUUGCUUUUCUCCCCACCUAGGGAGGGGAAACUUAAUUAUUAUUAACUAUAAUUGUUGUCUGCAUCAGUUGCUGGUGACGAAGUCACAAUUGGACUUUGGAUGAUCAGCAGUGAAAGCUUCUAGAAGGCGUGGACCUUUUCAGUCAUCUCUCUGUCAGCCCUAAAUUUCUGCACUUAUGUGAACUUUUUGUGAAUAAUACUGGACAAUGAUAACAUAUCACUGCGGGUCACUCAUCAGGAUAGGGAAAUGGUCAACUCACCACUAUGAAAACUCUCCUUCUGCCAACUCCGCUACUUGGCCGGACAAGGUUUUCAAAUGUAAACAUCGGAGUAAACAAUGUAACUAUCAAGGAAAAUGUGGAGAGGAUAAACACCUGCUACGAUACUCACAGAUCCGUAAUCCUGAUGCUGUGCUCAUUGUAAAAUGGACUGCACUUAUAUAAUACCUUUCUAGUCUUCCGACCAUUCAAAGCCCUUUACACUGCAUGCCAACAUUCACCCGUUCACACACACAUUCAUACACUAAUGGCAGAGGCUACCAUACAAGGUCAGCUUGCUCACCAGGAGGGUCUAAUCAUUCACACACACUCACACAGCCAUCGGCAGCAAUUUGGGGUUCAGUAUCUUGCUCAAGGACACUUAGACAUGCGGACUGGAGGAGCCGGGGAAUCAAGCCACUGAUCUUACGAUUAGUGGACGACCUGUUCUACCUCCUGAGCCACAGCCGCCCCAGCAGCUGGAGACUUCAAUCAGACUAACCUUAAGAAGGUUAAUGACUGUCGUUACAACAGCCAGGAGGACUAACGAACCAAGUGGUAUCAACGAUCUUGAUAACGACCCCACAGAGGUUAAAAACGUCUUCAGGUAUCCACAUCAAAGUCCAGUUGCCCUCAAUUCAGUCCUCCUUGGAUUAUCAUGAGAAAACGUCUUAGAAUUUUUGUUUGACGGGAACAAAGGCUAGCCAGGGGAAGUUGGUGUCCAGGAAGACGGGAAAGCUGGUCCAGAAAAAGGCAGCAACUGUGAAUCCCCAUAUAUAACCUCACUUUCACAAAGGAAUAGCCCACACUGCCACUAGAUGUUCAUGUUGUCAUUUUAAGGAAACAAGUCUCAGCAUUGUGUUCUGUUCUGUUCAGUAUAGUUUAGGCCAGUUGUCUCAAUUGUGAAGUUCCAGGUUUGUUCUUUCAUUUGCUUUCUAUAUACAUAAUCAUAACUCAUGAAAGAUGGAUACUGAAGGCAGGGUACAUCAGGUAUGGUAUGCAAGUUGUAUACAGAUUGUUGAGAACUUGUUUGACAUGAUUAAUUGUUUUUUUGGAUUG